CCAAAGGCUCUUUUAAGAGCCGCCACGUGGCCACCGGAGAGAGCUGU
rfam:Pygoscelis adeliae contig10417, whole genome shotgun sequence.